GAUCCUGUGGGGUUUGUGCCAAUUGCUGUAAGUUAUGGAAAUGUUUCAUCUUCUGAUAUUUGAUGCCUGGAUGCUGAAAGCAUGAGAUAAUGGAUUUUGUGUAGACUGGAAGCACAAAAUUGCAUUGACAGUUUCUGGGGUGCUCUUCUCCUCUGGCACUGCUGGCUGGGAGCACAGGGAUUUCACAAGCAAGUCUUCAUUUCCACGAGGGAAAUUUCCACCUGUCAAGCAACUGAGAAGGAGACAUCUACAGAGCCAGUCCUGCUCCCUCACCUGGAAACCUGCAGCAGCCUUGCUUAUCCCUGAGAGGUACCAAGGUCUUAAUAAGGAUGGAGGGAAGGAAAACUUCUUUCCCACUGCAGAUCUUCCUCAUGGAGUCUCCUGGAAUGAAUUUCCAUAGUCUUUUGGAGGUCAGAGUGGCAGCUGCUUUUCCAGCUAAGGCACUUGAUCCUGCAGUGCAGGUGGCAGUGAUCUGUGCUGGGAGUUCAUAGCACGCUGCAGGUGAUGGUGGGAGAUGGGAGUACAGCAAAAGUGUUGUGCUAUUUCAAGAAAAGAGGGCACAGAAAAAAUGCAUCUUUCUCCACUGCAAAAAAAAAUGAAAUCUCAUCACCUCUGCCUCCAACAGUGUGAGUGCUGCUAUGCAUGUGACAGUAAGGGUAACAUUUUGUCACCAGUGCUGCUUUCCUCAACCUCCUCAAAAAACAUCCAAACUUUCUCUAGAGAGGUUUGUAGCACACAUCUUCUAAAAUUUUGGAAAUAUUGCCACAAUAGAGACAAACCUGGUCUUCUCUUAAGUCCCUCAAGAGAACAUUAAAAUGUUAGAUGUCCAACUAAUGUUAGUGGGUGGGACUGGUCCUUCUGUCCCACAGAGUCUGGCAGGGACAGAAAGACCAGUCCCACUCACUUGUUCUUCCUGAAGUGAUGCAUGUGCUGCCUGCCUCAGCUGCUGUCAGCAGGGACAAGCCAAACAGGUUUCUGAGGAAAAACAGAAUGCUGGAUUUUCCAAAAGAAACUACUUUCCAAAGGAACUACUGUGGGAAACUGGGUUUGAGGUGUCCACGGAAGAUAAGUCAGAGAAGGAAGCCAAAGAGUGGGAGAAGCACCAGAAGAAAGGACUUAUUGAGUGUGGCCUUGCAGGAAUGAGCUCCAGGUUUUGUAAGAUUCCAAGGAGAGGGAAGAGACAGAGCAAAUGAUGCUUGGAAGGGAAUACUGAACUCAAUUUUAAAAGGAAGGCUGUUAGUUUAUACAGUUAGCAGCCCUAGCAAAGUCCUUUGGACAAUUAUUUUUUAUGUAGUUGUAUGCAUAUAUGUAUGGAAGGGGCCAUUUUCCUCUUCAUAAUGUGCAUUCUCAUCACAUCCCAUUCUUUAUAGGCAUCUUAGCAGCAUCCACACCCUGAAGACAUCUGCUGAAAGUGAUGUGGGUACCCAAAUCAGUUUGGGCUAGCCUGGCAUUUCUCCCAGUGUUCUGAAUCAAAGAUGAAAUGUGUUGCUAUCGUUUGCAAGAUGUUCACAAAGCAACUCUGUACAAAAGGAGACUGCACAGAGUGCCACCAUUUGAAAUCUUUUUACAGUGUUUUUCCAUUAAAACAACAAACCUUGGCAGCUACCAUCUACUCUUUUCUGAUUUGCAGCCAGCCAAUUACAUCACUUAGAAUGCACUCAAUUAACAAGGAUGCAAGGUCAAGGCACUGCCUUUGUGUAGUUCUGGUUGUGCCUCAGGAAAAACUUACUUUUGUUUUCCCUUCUGUGUGUUUAUUUCCUCCACUGUUUUUGUUAAUCCCUCCUACAUGCAAUAGCUCCCUUGCAAACAUUAUUUCAGCAGCGACCUCAGAGUGUUCUGAGUGCCUUCUAAAAGCCAGAUAUUAAAAGAAUUCAGUUGCCUCAAUCUCUUGGUGUGACCUCCAGUCACCAGAAUAGCUCUGAUGGUUUGAGUGGGAAGAUCCACAAGAGUGAAAA